AACGAACGCUGGCGGCAUGCCUAACACAUGCAAGUCGAACGAGACCUUCGGGUCUAGUGGCGCACGGGUGCGUAACGCGUGGGAACCUGCCCUUAGGUUCGGAAUAACUCCCCGAAAGGGGUGCUAAUACCGGAUAAUGUCUUCGGACCAAAGAUUUAUCGCCUUUGGAUGGGCCCGCGUUGGAUUAGCUAGUUGGUAGGGUAAAAGCCUACCAAGGCGACGAUCCAUAGCUGGUCUGAGAGGAUGAUCAGCCACACUGGGACUGAGACACGGCCCAGACUCCUACGGGAGGCAGCAGUGGGGAAUAUUGGACAAUGGGCGAAAGCCUGAUCCAGCAAUGCCGCGUGAGUGAUGAAGGCCUUAGGGUUGUAAUGCUCUUUUACCCGGGAUGAUAAUGACAGUACCGGGAGAAUAAGCUCCGGCUAACUCCGUG
rnacentral:rRNA from 1 species